GGGAAACACUCCAACACUCCAACACUCAGACAUCAUUUACAGAUAGCUAGGGGUACACUCCAACACUCAGACAUCAUUUACAAACACAGUAUUUGUGUUUAGUGAGUCCUCCAGAUCAGCGGCAGUAGGCAUGACAACGCGUUAUAUUGAUAGGUGUGUGAAUUGGACCAUUCUGCCUGAGCAAUCGAAAUGUAAGCAGUACUUUUGGGUUUCGGUGAAAAUGUAUGGGAGUACAAAGUACAUAUUUUCUUUAGGAAUGUAGUGAAGUAAAAGUAAAAAAAUUGUCACAAAUAUAAAUAGUAUAGUAAAGUACAGAUACCGCAAAAAAACGACUUAAGUAGAAGUAUUUUUACUUAAGUACUUUCCACCACUGAGUAGUAGACACAAUCAUUUGAUUUUCCAUGUUCAGGAAGUGUUUUACUCAUUUCAAAUCAACUUGAAACAACACAUUUAGUGUCUGUUUGGCUCCCAGACCACAUCUGAGGUCAUGGAAGAAGAAUUCAUGAAUUACCCAGUACUUUAUCAGACUAAAAACAAACAAUAAUAAUGACUUUGGGAUAAUAAAGCUUGAUUUAAACAGGCACUGUGUUGUAAUAUUUAUUUAAUAUCUCUGUGUAAUGUGUGGACUGGCUUCUGUAUUUAUCUAGUAGAGUGAAAUUGCUCCCGAGUGGCUCAACAGUCUAAGGCACUGCAACUCACUACUAGAGGCAUCAAUUACAGACCCUGGUUCGAUCCCGGGCUGCAUCAUAACUGGCUGUGAUCGGGAGUUCUGUGUUUCUACCUGGUUCUCAUGCUGAUGGAGUUUUUAAAAGGACACACAGAGAGAGAGAGAAAGAGAGAUAUGCAUAAUUGGUCCAGCGUUGUCCGGGUUAGGGGAGGGUUUGGCCGUGGUGGGCCGUCAUUGUAAAAUAAGAAUUUGUUCUUAAUUAACAAACUUGCCUAAUUUAAAAAAAGUUUAAAUGAACAAAUAGAGUUAGUUUGGGAAACGUAGGCAUUACAUAUUUCACCUUGUAUUUGACUUUGGCCCUAGGAAGUAAUUACUGUCAUUUAGACAUGAUUGCAAUUAUUCAACAAAUCUCUCUUUCUCUCUUUCAGCAUGAGAACCAGGUAGAAACAGGUAUAUGUGCACACACAGCCUCUCAGACCCAGCCCAACUCAGUGUUCAGCAAGCUUAGUGAUGUGCCUUACAUGGUGUGCCAGAAGAGGCUGUCUCUGGGUGGAUCAAACACAGACCUCUCUCUCUUUGGCAGGUACAAAACCGCCAAGUCUCUGUCAGGUCUCUAGUAAUAACUGACCAGGUCUCUAGUAUUAACUAACCAGGUCUCUGUCAGGUCCCUAGUAAUAUCUGACUAGGUCUGUCAGGUCUCUAGUAAUAACUGACCAGGUCUCUAGUAAUAACUGACCAGGUCUCUGUCAGGUCCCUAGUAAUAUCUGACUAGGUCUGUCAGGUCUCUAGUAAUAAUUGACCCUGUCUGUCAGGUCUCUAGUAAUAACUGACCAAGUCUCUGUCAGGUCUCUAGUAAUAACUGACCAAGUCUCUGUCAGGUCCCUAGUAUUAUCUGACUAGGCCUGUCAGGUCCCUAGUAAUAUCUGACCAGGUCUGUCAGGUCUCUAGUAAUAUCUGACCAGGUCUGUCAGGUCUCUAGUAAUAACUGACCAGGUCUGUCAGGUCUCUAGUAAUAACUAACCAGGUCUCUGUCAGGUCUCUAGUAAUGACUGACCAGGUCUCUGUCAUGUCCCUAGUAAUAUCUGACCAGGUCUGUCAGGUCUCUAGUAAUAUCUGACCAGGUCUGUCAGGUCUCUAGUAAUAACUGACCAGGUCUGUCAGGUCUCUAGUAAUAACUAACCAGGUCUCUGUCAGGUCUCUAGUAAUAACUGACCAGGUCUGUUGGGUCUCUAGUAAUAACUGACCUGGUCUCUCAGGUCUCUAGUAAUAACUGACCAGGUCUCUAGUAAUAACUGACCAGGUCUCUGUCAGGUCUCUAGUAAUAACUGACCAGGUCUCUGUCAGGUCUCUAAUAAUAACUGACCAGGUCUGUCAGGUCCCUAGUAAUAUCUGACCUCCCUAUUUCUUCUACAGUCCAGCUUUAUUUUCCCUACUACCUCAAACAUCUAUCUGCCAGCAGCAGCACAGCUGUUCAAAUACUGUAGGUUAAAAAACACAACUCAAGGCUGCCUCCAAAAUGGCACCUUAUUCCCCAUUUUCCUAUGUACCCUGUCCAAAAGUACUGCACUAUUUAUACUAUACUGAACAGAAUUGUACGUCCAAAAUGUAAAGUGUUGGUCACAUGUUUCAUAAAAGAUCACAGAAAUGUUCCAUAUGCCCCAAAAAAUUAUUUCUCAAAAAUGUUGUGCACAAAUUAUUUUUCCAUCCCUGUCAUUGAGCUUUUCUCCGUUACCAUGGUAAUCCAUACAGCUGACAGGUGUGUCAUAUCAAGAAGCUGAUUAAACAGCAUGAGGUGCACAGGUGCACCUUGUGCUGGGGACAAUAAAAGGCCACUAAAAUAUACAGUUUUGUCACAUAAUUCAAUGCCACAGAUGUUUUUGAAGGAGAGUGCAAUUGGCAUGCUGACUGCAGGAAAUGUCCACCAGAGCUGUUGCCAGAGACUUUAAUGUUAAUUUCUCUACCAUAAGCCGACUCCAAAGUCAUUUUAGAGAAUUUGGCAGUACGUCCAACCGGCAGACCACAUGUAACUUGGAAACCAUGGCUCCCGAGUGGCGCAGUGGUCUAAGGCACUGCGCCAUAAGGAUUCAUAUAUCCUUAUGUACAUAUUCUUUAUCCCCUUACACUGUGUAUAAGACAGUAGUUUUUUGGAAUUGUUAGUUAGAUUACUUGUUCGUUAUUACUGCAUUGUCGGAACUAGAAGCACAAGCAUUUCGCUACACUCGCAUUAACAUCUGCUAACCAUGUGUAUGUGACAAAUAAAAUUUGAUUUGAUUUGAUUUGAUUAGAGGCGUCACGACAGACACCCUGGUUCGAUUCCAGGCGGUAUCACAAUUGGCUGUGAUUGGGAGUCCCAUAGGGUGACGCACAAUUGGCCCCGCGUCGUCCAGGUUUGGCCGGUGUCAUUGUAAAUAAGAAUUUGAUCAUAACUGACUUGACUAGUUAAAUAAAGGUUACAUUUAAAAAAGUUAAACAAAUAAGUACACGCUGGCCCAGAACAUUGACAUCUGGCUUCUUCACCUGAGGGAUCGUCUGAGACCAGCCAUCCUGGGUACCCUAUUCUGCACCGGGGCAUUAUCUGAGCAGACACCUGUCUACUGUAAUAUACCUGGUCACCCUAUUCUGCACCGGGGCAUUAUCUGAGCAGACACCUGUCUACUGUAAUAUACCUGGUCACCCUAUUCUGCAC
ensembl:lncRNA